CGGCUGCAGCAGAAGAAGAGAAGCUCCCAUCAGAUCAGCUUUAAUCUCAACCAUGAUCUGUGUAGCUCUGCUGCUGUUGGCUGCUGGAUGCUGUGUGAAGUGUGAAACGCUGACACAACCAGCCUCUGUGACUGUGCAGCCAGGUCAACGUCUGACCAUCACCUGUCAGGUCUCUUACUCCCUAGGCUACUUCACAGCUUGGAUCAGACAGCCUGCAGGACAAGGACUGGAGUGGAUUGGAAUGAAAUACACUGGAGCUUCAUAUUAUAAAGAUUCACUGAAGAACAAAUUCAGCAUUGACCUGGACACUUCAAAUAAAAUAGUGACUCUGAAUGGACAGAAUAUGCAGCCUGAAGACACCGCUGUGUAUUACUGUGCCCGCAGAGACACAGUAACACAAAGCAUCUGUAGACCUGAACAAAAACCCCAGCAUGUGAAAAAAUAUAACGUGAAUCCACCAGAGGAGGAGCCCUCACACCACUAAUGACUGUAAUGAAAUCAGUCUUUUAGUUUAUCCCAUUUCCACUCAAACAGUAACU